rnacentral:rRNA from 1 species
GACGAACGCUGGCGGCGUGCUUAACACAUGCAAGUCGAACGGAAAGGCCCUGCUUUUGUGGGGUGCUCGAGUGGCGAACGGGUGAGUAACACGUGAGUAACCUGCCCUUGACUUUGGGAUAACUUCAGGAAACUGGUGCUAAUACCUGAUAGGAGCUCCUGCUGCAUGGUGGGGGUUGGAAAGUUUCGGCGGUGGGGGAUGGACUCGCGGCUUAUCAGCUUGUGGGUGGGGUAGUGGCUUACAAAGGCUUUGACGGGUAGCCGGCCCGAGAGGGUGACCAGGCACAUUGGGACUGAGAUACGGCCCAGACUCCUACGGGAGGCAGAAGUGGGGAAUAUUGCACAAUGGGGGGAAGCCUGAUGCAGAACAGCCGCGUGCGGGAUGACGGCCUUCGGGUUGUAAACCGCUUUCGCCUGUGACGAAGAGUGAGUGACGGUAAUGGGUAAAGAAGCACCGGCUAACUACGUG